AAUCUUGGACAAUGGGGGAAACCCUGAUCCAGCCAUCCCGCGUGUAUGAUGAAGGCCUUCGGGUUGUAAAGUACUUUUGGCAGAGAAGAAAGCGUAUCUCCUAAUACGAGAUACUGCUGUCGGUAUCUGCACUAUAUGUACCGGCUAACUACGUGCCAGCAGCCGCGGUAAUACGUAGGGUGCAAGCGUUAAUCGGAAUUUCUGGGCGUAAAGCGUGUGUAGGAGGGUCGGAAAGAAAGAUGUUAAAGCCCGGGGCUCAACCUUGGAACUGCAUUUUUAACUGCCGAGCUAGAGUAUGUCAGAGGGGGGUAGAAUUCCACGUGUAGCAGUGAAAUGCGUAGAUAUGUGGAGGAAUACCGAUGGCGAAGGCAGCCCCCUGGGAUAAUACUGACGCUCAGACACGAAAGCGUGGGGAGCAAACAGG
rnacentral:rRNA from 1 species